AGUGAACGCUGGCGGCAGGCCUAACACAUGCAAGUCGAGCGGCAGCGGGUCCCCGCGAGGGGAUGCCGGCGAGCGGCGGACGGGUGAGGAACACAUCGGAAUCUGCCUGGUUGUGGGGGAUAACGUAGGGAAACUUACGCUAAUACCGCAUGCGACCCUGAGUCGACGGACUGGGGGUGAAAGUGAGGGACCUUCGGGCCUCACGCGACCAGAUGAGCCGAUGUCGGAUAGCUAGUUGGCGGGGUAACGGCUCGCCAAGGCGACGAUCCGUAGCUGGUCUGAGAGGAUGAUCAGCCACACUGGGACUGAGACACGGCCCAGACUCCUACGGGAGGCAGCAGUGGGGAAUCUUGGACAAUGGGCGC
rnacentral:rRNA from 1 species